AGGCUGGGAUUUGGGAAGAGAUUGGGAUUUGGGAAAGGCUAGGACUUGAGGCUGGGAUUUGGGAAGAGGUUGGGAUUUGGGAAGAGGCUGGGAUUUGGAAAAGGAUGGGAUUUGAGGCUGGGAUUCAGGAAGAGAUUGGGAUUUGGGAAAGCUUGGGACUUGAGGUUGGGAUUUGGGAAGACGUUGGGAUCUGGGAAGAGGCUGGGACUUGGGAAGAGGGUGGGAUUUGGGAAGAGGGUGGGUCUUGGGAAGAGAUUAGGAUUUGGGAAGAGGUUGGGAUUUGGUAAGAGGCUGGGAUUUGGGAAGAGGGUGGGAUUUGGGAAGAGGCUGGGAUUUGGGAAGAGGCUGGGACUUGGGAAGAGAUUAGGAUUUGGGAAGAGGCUGGGAUUUGGGAAGAGACUGGGACUUGGGAAGAAGCUGGGAUUUGGGAAGAGGCUGGGACUUGAGGUUGGGAUUCGGGAAGAGGCUGGGAUUUGGGAAAAGGCUGGGACUUGGAAAAGGUUGGGAUUUAGGAAGAGGUUGGGAUUUGGGAAAAGGCUGAGAUCUGGGAAAAGGUUGGGACUUGGGAAGACGCUGGGACUUGGAAAAGGUUGGGAUUUAGGAAGAGGUUGGGAUUUCGGAAAUGGUUGAGAUCUGGGAAAAGGCUGAGAUCUGGGAAAAGGCUGGGACUUGGGAAGAGACUGGGAUUUGGGAAAAGGUUGGAAUUUGGGAAGAGGCUGGGACUUGGGAAGAGGCUGGGAUUCAGGACUUUGGGAGCAGCCAUUCCAAGGAACCCCAGGGAUUCUGGGAGCAGCCACCCCAGGGUUCAGGAGCAGCCAUCCCAAGGACUCCCAGGAUUCAGGA